ACAAUUUUUUUUUUCAUUUUUCUUCCCUAUAGUCCGCUGUCCUUUGAAAGAUUGUCAAGGGACCAUGCAGGAGAAAAGGAGUACGGAUAGGAUAGCGAGGAGGAAAAAAAAUUGGCGCGCAUGUUGCAUGCUUGACAUAG
ensembl:ncRNA C02C6.10 ncRNA